AGUGAACGCUGGCGGCAGGCCUAACACAUGCAAGUCGAGCGGCAGCGGGUUCCCGCGAGGGGAUGCCGGCGAGCGGCGGACGGGUGAGGAACACAUCGGAAUCUGCCUGGUUGUGGGGGAUAACGUAGGGAACUUACGCUAAUACCGCAUGCGACCCUGAGUCGACGGACUGGGGGUGAAAGUGAGGGACCGUUCGGCCGUCACGCGACCAGAUGAGCCGAUGUCGG
rnacentral:rRNA from 1 species